CAGUAGCCGCGGUAAUACGUAGGUGGCAAGCGCUGCCCGGAAUUAUUGGGCGUAAAGGGCUCGCAGGCGGUUUCUUAAGUCUGAUGUGAAAGCCCCCGGCUCAACCGGGGAGGGUCAUUGGAAACUGGGAAACUUGAGUGCAGAAGAGGAGAGUGGAAUUCCACGUGUAGCGGUGAAAUGCGUAGAGAUGUGGAGGAACACCAGUGGCGAAGGCGACUCUCUGGUCUGUAACCGACGCUGAGGAGCGAAAGCGUGGGGAGCGAACAGGAUUAGAGACCCCCGUAGUCCCUGUCUCUUAUAC
rnacentral:rRNA from 1 species